rnacentral:lncRNA from 1 species
AGAAUGUCUGCUUUCCUACCAGGAAGAGUGGCUUGGCCCUCUGCUGAGGCUCUCAGAGGUUCUCCCAGCCUUGGGAUCGCUGAGUAAAACCAGUCAGCACCAUGUCACCCUAUGGAGACUGGUAUUACCUUGCGCCUGCCUCCAUCCCUGGGAUUUGCUGGUAGAAGAAAGGGAAUCAGCGCUGACUGAGCUCCUACUAUGUGCCCUUCCUGGGCCUGGCACUGGAAUCACAGGAUGAAUGAAUAAGGCAUAUUUCCUGCCCUGAGGAGGCGUCUAUAGGGGAAGUCGGAAUUAAGGCACCUCCAGAAUUCUGAGGUCAAGGGAAUGUCAACAGAGCUGUGAACAAAAUGCCCAAAGCCAUGAAAAUCUACAGAGAGAGACUCGAAGGGGAGGAAUGGGGUAGGAGCUGGUGCCGAGGAUGAGAGGGGAGAAUUCACCUGGUGGAGAACUGAUAGGCCAGGCUGAGGUCGGGAUGGUGGAGGAGGUGGUGGAGGUGAUGAGGUACCAGAGCAACCUCGAAGAAAGCUGAGAGGCAGGAGACCGCCAAAGGCAAACUUGGAACACCUGGUGACUCCGACUAACUCUCCAUGUGGUGUCCUUGAGGACUUUUAUGAUACUGCUACCACUGCUAAUAGUAAUAAAAGCCACUAUUUAAUGUGUUUACUAUGCGCUGGGUGUGCAAAUAUUGUGGAAAGAGUGAACAUAUGUGCAGAAUGCUUAAUAAACGUGAUCUCCUUUUAUCUUCAAAAGAACAAUACAGGCCAGGUGCGGUGGCUCAUGCCUAUAAUUCCAGCACUUUGGGAGGCCGAGGCAGAUGGAUUGCUUGAGCUCAAGAAGUUUCAGACCAGCCUGGGCAACAUGGCAAAACCCCAUCUCUACAAAAAAAUACCCAAAAAAUUAGCCAGGUGUGAUGUUGCCUGCCUGUGGUCCCAGCUACUCCAGAGGUUGAGGUGGGAGAAUCGCGUGAGCCCAGAAGGUCAAGGCUGCAGUGAGCUGUGAUCCUGCCACUGCACUCCAGCCUGGGGUGACAGAGUGAGACCCUGCCUAAAAAAAAAAGAAUCAAUACGAUUAAUACUUUUACUUCUAUUUUUCAGACAAGGAAAUUGAGGCUCAGAGAGGUUAGGAACUUGCCAGAAGACCUACCAGCAAGUGGCAGAGCUAAGGUCCCAUCUGACCCCAAAGCCCACCCAUAACCGCUAUGCAGUACUGUCCAGGCAGAAACACAAACAUUACCCCAUUGUUUUUAUUCUUCAACACCUUUGGUAUCAUCCAGUCCCAGGACACUGGCUCCUGAGGAAGGAAGGCCCCUCCCACAUCCUUUAAAAUUCCCAGGCAUAAAACCAUGUUCACCAGCCACCGUGAGGGUAAGCCUCAGAGACAGGGACCGUGCCCAC